rnacentral:misc_RNA from 1 species
GAUGAAGAACGCAGCGAAAUGCGAUACUUGGUGUGAAUUGCAGAACCCCGUGAACCAUCGAGUCUUUGAACGCAAGUUGCGCCCGAAGCCACUAGGCCGAGGGCACGCCUGCCUGGGCGUCACACGCCGUUGCCCCCCCAUCUACUCCUUCGGGAUUGCGGGGGGGCGGAUGAUGGCCUCCCGUGCGCCUAGCCGCGCGGUUGGCAUAAAUACCAAGUCCUCGGCGACGCACGCCACGACAAUCGGUGGUUGCGAAACCUCGGUUGCCCGUCGUGUGCGUUCGUCGCGCAUCGAGGGCUCGAAAAAAUGCUCGGCUCCGGCUGGGCUUUCAACGCGACCCCAGGUCAGGCGGGGUUACCCGCUGAAUUUAAGCAUAUCAAUAAGCGGAGGA